rnacentral:rRNA from 1 species
CUUGCUUCUCUGAUGUUAGCGGCGGAYGGGUGAGUAACACGUGGAUAACCUACCUAUAAGACUGGGAUAACUUCGGGAAACCGGAGCUAAUACCGGAUAAUAUUUUGAACCGCAUGGUUCAAAAGUGAAAGACGGUCUUGCUGUCACUUAUAGAUGGAUCCGCGCUGCAUUAGCUAGUUGGUAAGGUAACGGCUUACCAAGGCAACGAUGCAUAGCCGACCUGAGAGGGUGAUCGGCCACACUGGAACUGAGACACGGUCCAGACUCCUACGGGAGGCAGCAGUAGGGAAUCUUCCGCAAUGGGCGAAAGCCUGACGGAGCAACGCCGCGUGAGUGAUGAAGGUCUUCGGAUCGUAAAACUCUGUUAUUAGGGAAGAACAUAUGUGUAAGUAACUGUGCACAUCUUGACGGUACCUAAUCAGAAAGCCACGGCUAACUACGUGCCAGCAGCCGCGGUAAUACGUAGGUGGCAAGCGUUAUCCGGAAUUAUUGGGCGUAAAGCGCGCGUAGGCGGUUUUUUAAGUCUGAUGUGAAAGCCCACGGCUCAACCGUGGAGGGUCAUUGGAAACUGGAAAACUUGAGUGCAGAAGAGGAAAGUGGAAUUCCAUGUGUAGCGGUGAAAUGCGCAGAGAUAUGGAGGAACACCAGUGGCGAAGGCGACUUUCUGGUCUGUAACUGACGCUGAUGUGCGAAAGCGUGGGGAUCAAACAGGAUUAGAUACCCUGGUAGUCCACGCCGUAAACGAUGAGUGCUAAGUGUUAGGGGGUUUCCGCCCCUUAGUGCUGCAGCUAACGCAUUAAGCACUCCGCCUGGGGAGUACGACCGCAAGGUUGAAACUCAAAGGAAUUGACGGGGACCCGCACAAGCGGUGGAGCAUGUGGUUUAAUUCGAAGCAACGCGAAGAACCUUACCAAAUCUUGACAUCCUUUGACAACUCUAGAGAUAGAGCCUUCCCCUUCGGGGGACAAAGUGACAGGUGGUGCAUGGUUGUCGUCAGCUCGUGUCGUGAGAUGUUGGGUUAAGUCCCGCAACGAGCGCAACCCUUAAGCUUAGUUGCCAUCAUUAAGUUGGGCACUCUAAGUUGACUGCCGGUGACAAACCGGAGGAAGGUGGGGAUGACGUCAAAUCAUCAUGCCCCUUAUGAUUUGGGCUACACACGUGCUACAAUGGACAAUACAAAGGGCAGCGAAACCGCGAGGUCAAGCAAAUCCCAUAAAGUUGUUCUCAGUUCGGAUUGUAGUCUGCAACUCGACUACAUGAAG